GUGGUUUUCAGAUAGGGGACACUUUCUGAAAUCAGAAAAAGCAGAGACAAAAACCUGCAGCACAGCGAGGCGUCAUCGACUGAACAGACUAAUUGUUGCAGAAUACUGCAGCACUGCAGCACGUGUAGGAAGAGCAGAUGGCCAGCUACUGCUUGCUCUCACUCUGCCUCCCUGCAACGAUUUCUAAAUGAGACACAAGGUGGUAAACCAACAUGGGUGGAGGUCAUGUUAUUUCUGACACGAUCAGAUCAGAAUUGCCCCGGGGUGAUGUCAUCGCGGGACCCAUGUCGCCGCCACAUGAUCAUUAGGGAGGACGCGGAGCACUGUCCUUUCAUUUACUGUAGGAAGCGCACUAAACCGUGGAAACUCCAGGAUGGCGGAGGCUCUAAUAAGCAAUGUCGCCUGGAAGAUUAAUCACUGGGAGAUUUUGUUCCUUGUUUCCUCCAGAGAAUCCAGGAUGGAGCAGCAGAAUGGAAACUACAUUUCUCUUUUAUGCUCAACAGGAGGGCCCUUAGUUUUCCUUCAAACCUCCAUUUGCAUCUUAACUCACCGUUGUACUAUGGCUCCUCUGUAUUAGUCCAAACGGUUCCACUGAUGUCACCGUUCCCAAACGGAGACGCUAUGAACUGGUCGCCUGUCAGGCUGAACCGCAGAGAUGUUGCGUCUCAUUCAGUCCAGACUGCUGAUGAAACUCAUUUCCACCAAAGUAAAGACUCAGCACCGGAGGAGCAACAUGUCUGCCUCUAAAGCGUCAUAAUCCCAACACUCACGCUGACGGCGCCACCUGCUGGACAACAGCUGCACGACAACAGAAAGGAAUCCAGGCGGUUCCGUCUUUUUAAUGGCUGUAUGUGGAAAACCUUGGAGAAUACAGAAGAGGAAGGAAGAGAUUAAACCCAGAGCGGUUCUCUGAUGCAUACAAGUCCUGAACAUCAGAGGAGAACCCAAAGGUUUGACUCAAGCUGUGGGCAUGAAGAACAAUGCUGCGUUCAGAGAGCGAGGCAGAAACCGCACGUAGCAGUCCCAGCAUCAUUAUCUCAGAGGAGGAGCUUCAUCGUCGAAGGCGGGG